rnacentral:rRNA from 1 species
CGUAGGAGACGAGCGUUAUCCGGAUUUACUGGGCGUAAAGCGCGUGCAGGCGGUUCGGCAAGUUGGAUGUGAAAUCUCCCGGCUCAACUGGGAGGGGUCGUUCAAUACUACCGAACUUGAGGAUGGUAGAGGAAGGUGGAAUUCCCGGUGUAGUGGUGAAAUGCGCAGAUAUCGGGAGGAACACCAGUGGCGAAAGCGGCCUUCUGGACCAUUCCUGACGCUCAGACGCGAAAGCUAGGGGAGCGAACGGGAUUAGAGACCCCGGUAGUCCUAGCUGUAAACCAUGCAAACUUGGCGUCGGUGGGUUAAAAACCAUCGGUGCCGAAGCUAACGCGAUAAGUUUGCCGCCUGGGGACUACGGCCGCAAGGUUA